GACGAACGCUGGCGGCGUGCUUAACACAUGCAAGUCGAACGGAAAGGCCCUGCUUUUGUGGGGUGCUCGAGUGGCGAACGGGUGAGUAACACGUGAGUAACCUGCCCCUGACUUUGGGAUAACUUCAGGAAACUGGGGCUAAUACCGGAUAGGAGCUCCUGCUGCAUGGUGGGGGUUGGAAAGUUUCGGCGGUUGGGGAUGGACUCGCGGCUUAUCAGCUUGUUGGUGGGGUAGUGGCUUACCAAGGCUUUGACGGGUAGCCGGCCUGGGAGGGUGACCGGCCCCAUUAGGACUGAGAUACGGCCCAGACUCCUACGGGAGGCAGCGGUGGGGAGUAGUACACAAUGGACGGAAGCCUGGUGCGACAACGCCGCGUGCGGGAUGACGGCAUUCGGGUUGUGAACUGCUGCCGCCUGUGACGAGGUGUGAGUGACGGUAAUGGGUAAAGAAGCACCGGCUAACUACGUG
rnacentral:rRNA from 1 species